UCCUCGAUAGCUCAGUUGGUAGAGCAGCAGACUGUUACUCUGUUUGUCCCACGUUCGAACCGUGGUCGGGGAG
rnacentral:tRNA from 1 species